UACAGAUGUCUCAAGCGUUGUUCGGAUUCAUUGGGCGUAAAGGGUGCGUAGGCGGCGCGGUAAGUCGGAUGUGAAAUCUCGGAGCUUAACUUCGAAACUGCAUUCGAUACUGCCGUGCUUGAGGACUGGAGAGGAGACUGGAAUUUACGGUGUAGCGGUGAAAUGCGUAGAUAUCGUAAGGAAGACCAGUGGCGAAGGCGGGUCUCUGGACAGUUCCUGACGCUGAGGCACGAAGGUCAGGGGAGCAAACGGG
rnacentral:rRNA from 1 species